GGAGGAGUGGCAGAGUGGUUGAAUGCGGCAGUCUCGAAAACUGUUUCACGGCAACGUGACGGGGGUUCGAAUCCCUCCUCCUCCG
rnacentral:tRNA from 2 species